rnacentral:pre_miRNA from 1 species
AAAAACAGUUGACGUACGUACGGAUUGACAAUCCGUAUGGCCAUAAGGAUUGUCAAUCCGUACGUACGUCAACUUUUUUU